rnacentral:rRNA from 1 species
GAUGAACGCUGGCGGCGUGCCUAAUACAUGCAAGUCGAGCGAACAGACGAGGAGCUUGCUCCUCUGACGUUAGCGGCGGACGGGUGAGUAACACGUGGAUAACCUACCUAUAAGACUGGGAUAACUUCGGGAAACCGGAGCUAAUACCGGAUAAUAUAUUGAACCGCAUGGUUCAAUAGUGAAAGACGGUUUUGCUGUCACUUAUAGAUGGAUCCGCGCCGCAUUAGCUAGUUGGUAAGGUAACGGCUUACCAAGGCAACGAUGCGUAGCCGACCUGAGAGGGUGAUCGGCCACACUGGAAUUGAGCCACGGUCCAGACUCCUAAGGGAGGCAGCAGUAGGGAAUGUUCCGCAAUGGGCGAAAGCCUGACGGAGCAACGCCGCGUGAGUGAUGAAGGUCUUCGGAUCGUAAAACUCUGUUAUUAGGGAAGAACAAAUGUGUAAGUAACUAUGCACGUCUUGACGGUACCUAAUCAGAAAGCCACGGCUAACUACGUG